rfam:Tropilaelaps mercedesae isolate Wuxi-XJTLT scaffold0000004942, whole genome shotgun sequence.
AUACUUACCUAAUGCCGGGAACUCCGUGAUCAGGAUAGCGGAGACCCCAGGAAAAGGACCUUCCAUUGCACUUCGGAAAAGCUGAGACCUGCCACUUCCCUAAACUGGGAAAAAUGGGGCAUGCGAUUUGUGGUAGAUUUUGCUAUUUAUCAUACGAAUU